rnacentral:lncRNA from 1 species
GUAUCUCUUUCAUCAAUUUUUCUCUGUGGUAUAGCAAAUGACCACAACUCAGGAGCUUGGAAUAGUAUGUUUAUUGUUUGUGUGUUUUUAUGGAUCAACUGGGUCUCUUUAUUUUUUGUUGUUGUUUUGCUUUGUUUCUUGUUUUUUUGAGACAGGAUUUCUCUGUGUAGCCCUGAACUCCGUUUGUAGACCAAACUUUCUUUGAACUCAGAGAAGUAAGCUUGCUUCUUCCUCUCGAGUGCUGGGAUCAAAGACAUGUGCUGCUACCACCCAGCUUCAGCUGAGUAGGUCUCUUAUUCAGGCAUCACCAGGUGGCCUUACAGUGUUAGCCAGGCUAUGUUCCCCUUCUGAGCUUCAAUCUUCUUCCAAGCCCUCUCUGUCUGCUGGCAGAUUCCUCAUGGUCUGAAAGAAUGAAGCUCCAUUUUCUUUUUCUUUUUUUUUUUUUAAGAUUUUAUUUAUUUAUUAUAUGUAAGUACACUGUAGCUGUUUUCAGACACUCCAGAAGACGGAGUCAGAUCUCGUUACGGAUGGUUGUGAGCCACCAUGUGCUUGCUGGGAUUUGAACUCCGGACCUUUGGAAGAGCGGUCGGGUGCUCUUACCCACUGAGCCAUCUCACCAGCCCAAAGCUCCAUUUUCUAGCCGGUUGUUAACAGACCAUUCCUAGCUACUGUGUUAUGCCCUCCUUUGGGAGUGCAUGUUAGCUGUUUGUGUCCUUCUAUGCCAGCAAGAGCAGCCUCUGCUUUGGAAGUGCUCACCUAUGUAGAGGCAGAAGGAUCGAGGAGUUCAGGGUCAUCUUCAUCCACAUAGCCCGCUUAGACAACAUGAGACCUUGUGUCAAAAGAAAUGAACAAUAGGAGCUGGCAAGCUUGCUAAGUAAAUGAGGAUGUUUGCCACCAAGCCUGGCAGCUUGAGCUCAAUUCCUAAAAUUCACAUGGUAAGAGAGAAACAAUUUCCAUAACUUAUCCUCGUUCUGCCCAAUAAAUAACAAAUGCUUUUUUGUUUGUUUCUUUGUUUGUUUGGUUUUUUAAAAUCUUUUUAAAAGCGCUCAUGUGGUAGGAUUGAUCAGCGAGGGUAAGUUCCACUCUGUGGGUUGGUAGCAGGACUCUGGAGAAGGGCAGCCUCGCACCUUUGUUAGUCCUACUUACAAAGAACCAAAAUCUAAGCCCCAGUGAGGACCUGCUUUUCUGUUUUUUCUUCUUUUCUUUUCUUUUCUUUUCUUUUCUUUUCUUUUCUUUUCUUUUCCUUUCUUUCUUUCUUUUCUUUUCUUUUUUUUUUUUUUUUUGAGACAGGGUUUCUCUGUGUAUCCCUGGCUAUCCUGGAACUCACUCUGUAGACCAGGCUGGCCUCGAGGAUCUGCUUUUCUGAUCCCUGUGAUAUAUGUUUAGUAGUUCAUAGGGGUUUGUUUGCGAACUGCAGUGUUUGCUAAAUGCAUCUUCAUAUUUUCCUCCUGACCCGGCCUCUGUUUCAUAAUGCCGAGAUCGACUAGCUCUUUUAUAGUCACUAAUCCAGUUAGGAAUCUUCUGUCUGUCUUCCACAAGGGAGGAAGAGAUGCCCAAGAAGGAGGUCUGAUCUAAGAGCAGAUUAUUUGUUGUCACUAGGUUGAAAGAGUUGUGCAGCUAUGCAAGGGUUGUUGUCCUAGGGGGCAUUCUUAGAGGCGUAGUCAUUAUUUUGUUGAGUGUUUCCUCUGUGCCUCUAGAGCUGAAAACUGAACCUAGGGCUUUGUACUUGCUAAGCAAGUGUUCUAUCAUGGAGCUAAAUCCCCAACCCUUGGUGGUUUAGUCAUUAGCACCAUCUUCUCUGAAGCCUGUGAUAGCUCACACCUAACUUCUUGGAUGGUCUUUUUCUCAGAGGCUCAGGUAUGAGGAGCUAGUGUAAUCACUUAGCCAAAUAUCUCUGUCUCCGUAGCUCAGGGCAGCUCUGGACAGAGAGCCUUCAGGUAAGGAGUGGGGACUGUGUGAGGGAGACUUGGCUCAGGAGGAGCUGGGUUCUGGCUGAGGCUCUGCUUAAGGGUAGUCCCUGAACAUGCACUUGUUUCUGUAUUCACUAACAAUAUAAUAUUUCCAUUUAUCCAAGGUUCUGAAGACUCAGAAGAUGGAGUAGAAAUGGCAACGGCAGCAAUAGAGACUCAAGGGAAGCUUGAAGCUAGCAGUGUACCCAAUUCUGAUGAUGAUGCAGAGAGCUGCCCCAUUUGCCUCAAUGCAUUUAGAGACCAGGCUGUGGGCACCCCAGAGACCUGUGCCCAUUAUUUCUGCCUGGAUUGCAUCAUCGAAUGGUCCAGGGUGAGUUGGCUUUUCAGUGGGCUACUGCUACCCCUUAUGACUAGGCUGCCUUCUCUGCAGCAAAACUGAACACAGGGCUGAGUGCUGCCUGGGUUCUCAGCAUUGUGGGGAAGGAAUGCUUACUGUGGGGGCUGUUACUGGGUGAGAAAGGAUGACUCUGGCUUUUCUGAGGGUCAGGACACAAACUCUUCGGCAACCUCACAUAGUAAGUGUAAGGCAGCCUCUGUAGGUAUUGGAAUGGUGCAAGUGUGCUUACUCAGUUCUGAUGGCAAGUCAUGAAGAGACAAGCUUUUAUCACGCUGCUUACCUUGCAGUGAACUUUAAGGAGACUUGCCUGGGCCUUCACCCACUGGCAAAGACUUUUAUAUGUGUACAGGUAUGUGGUGUGUGCCUGUCUUUACACGUAGAGGCUAAAGGAUGUCAGGUAUCCUGCUCUGUCGCUUUCUGCGUUAUUCCUUUGAGUCAGGAUCUUUUACUGAAGCUGCAGCAUAAUAGGCAGCUAGUAAACCCAAGACAUUCUCUCAUUCUUCAUGGCAUUAGCAUUGAGAGAUGAAGGUAUAAUCUUGCCCAGGUUUUUAUGUGGAUGUUGAGAUAUGAGUUUGGGUCCUUGUGUUUGCAUAACAAAUUUUCUUAUCUGUUGAGCCAUCCCCAUCC